GCACUUGCCCUGUGUUUACGAUUAAAAGCUCCUUCUUCGAUUUAUACCGCGAAUACGAUGGCGAUAUCAAAGGAUUAUUUGCAAUGUCCAGUCCAGAACUACUAUGAUUGCAAAUCAUUUCCCAAGAAAUAAAACAAAAUGGAUUGCUACAUUAUUUCAAAUCAAGGCAAACACAGCCACGGAGGAGAAAUCCAGUGAAUACAUGAGCAGUAAUCUUUUCAGUAGCUAUUAUCAUGGCCACCACUUAGACCCAAAUUUAUGUACAGGCAUGCAGCCCAGGGUGGGCACACGGGUUGUGUCCCUCCCACUCAACUACCAAAAAGCAGUCUUUUUAAAAUAUACUUACUCUCCAUAAUAUUUAUGACUGCACAUCCCCUCCACAGCUAAUCAGAUUGUUUGUUAUGGUUAUCAGACUUCACCUUCCCUUUUCUAGACAUACAAUGCCUUCAAUUAAAUAAUUUCUUUUGUUUAAUGAAAUAAGACUACAAGCAAUUUGUUUUUGUUCUACCUCUCUUAUUAAACAAACAGAGAAACCA